rnacentral:rRNA from 1 species
AGAGUUUGAUCCUGGCUCAGGAUGAACGCUGGCGGCGUGCUUAACACAUGCAAGUCGAGCGAAGCGAAUCUUCGGAAGUUUUCGGAUGGAAGAGGAUUUGACUUAGCGGCGGACGGGUGAGUAACGCGUGGGUAACCUGCCUUACACUGGGGGAUAACAGUUAGAAAUGACUGCUAAUACCGCAUAAGCGCACAGGGCCGCAUGGUCUGGUGUGAAAAACUCCGGUGGUGUAAGAUGGACCCGCGUCUGAUUAGGUAGUUGGUGGGGUAACGGCCCACCAAGCCGACGAUCAGUAGCCGACCUGAGAGGGUGACCGGCCACAUUGGGACUGAGACACGGCCCAA